CGCGAGUACUGGUCCGGCUGGGUCUUUCCUUCUGGGGAACCCCAUGGCCUUCACUGGCUGUGGGGGGAACCAGGACUUUUACUGUGAAAAAAUUAGAGUGUUCAAAGCAGGCCUUUGCUCGAAUACAUUAGCAUGGAAUAAUAGAAUAGGACGUGCGGUUCUAUUUUGUUGGUUUCUAGGACCGCCGUAAUGAUUAAUAGGGAUAGUCGGGGGCGUCAGUAUUCAGCUGUCAGAGGUGAAAUUCUUGGAUUUGCUGAAGGCUAACUACUGCGAAAGCAUUCGCCAAGGAUGUUCUCACUAAUCAGGGAACGAAAGUUAGGGGAUCGAAGACGACCAGAUACCGUCGUAGUCUUAACCAUAAACUAUGCCGACUAGGGAUCGGACGGUGUUUCUAUGAUGACCCGUUCGGCACCUUACGAGAAAUCAAAGUUUUUGGGUUCUGGGGGGAGUAUGGUCGCAAGGCUGAAACUUAAAGAAAUUGACGGAAGGGCCCCACAAGGCGUGGAGCCUGCGGCUUAAUUUGACUCAACACGGGGAAACUCACCAGGUCCAGACAAAAUAAGGAUUGACAGAUUGAGAGCUCUUUCUUGAUCUUUUGGAUGGUGGUGCAUGGCCGUUCUUAGUUGGUGGAGUGAUUUGUCUGCUUAAUUGCGAUAACGAACGAGACCUCGGCCCUUAAAUAGCCCGGUCCGCGUCUGCGGGCCGCUGGCUUCUUAGGGGGACUAUCGG
rnacentral:rRNA from 1 species